rnacentral:lncRNA from 10 species
CCGCGUCCUUAGCCCCGGCCUCCCUCAGAACGCGCUGGGAUGGGAACCGCGUUCAGGAGCUGCUAAGCGCGUUUGAGACUUCAGCCCCUUCUCCAGCUUUUAACCUAAAAGGGCUAAAUCAGACCGCAGCUAGUGUACACCCCUACCCUCCGCUGAUCCCGUCACCCCUGCGCCGAAAGCAAAAGACCCAUUCCAGCUCUGGACGUUGUGAGGCCUGGCCCAGGCGUCCGCUCUCUGGUUUUCCUAUUGAUCUUACCCCUGGCUGCAGGAGAUCACCCCUUGAUUCACAGGAAUAAGCAGCGUUCAUCCAAAAUGUUGGCAAAAAGUUUACAAACAGUCCAGACGCCGUGGCUCACAUCUGUAAUCCCAGCGCUUUGGGAGGCCGAGGUAGGAGGAUAACUUGAGGUCAGGAGUUCCACACCAACCUGGUCAAUGUGGUGAAACCCCGUCUCUACUAAAAAACAGUUAGCUGGGCAUGGUGGCAGGUGCCUGUAAUCCCAGCUACUCGGGAGGCUGAGGCAGGAGAAUCACUUGAACCCGGAAGGCGGAGGUUGCAGUGAGCCGAGAUUGUGCCCCUGCAGUCCAGCCUGGGUGACAGCGUGAGACUGACAGAG